UGGAGGGGGAUAACUACUGGAAACGGUAGCUAAUACCGCAUAAUGUCGCAAGACCAAAGAGGGGGACCUUCGGGCCUCUUGCCAUCGGAUGUGCCCAGAUGGGAUUAGCUUGUAGGUGAGGUAACGGCUCACCUAGGCGACGAUCCCUAGCUGGUCUGAGAGGAUGACCAGCCACACUGGAACUGAGACACGGUCCAGACUCCUACGGGAGGCAGCAGUGGGGAAUAUUGCACAAUGGGCGCAAGCCUGAUGCAGCCAUGCCGCGUGUAUGAAGAAGGCCUUCGGGUUGUAAUGUACUUUCAGCGGGGAGGAAGGGAGUGAGGUUAAUAACCUUAUUCAUUGACGUUACCCGCAGAAGAAGCACCGGCUAACUCCGUGCCAGCAGCCGCGGUAGUACGGAGGGUGCAAGCGUUAAUCGGAAUUACUGGGCGUAAAGCGCACGCAGGCGGUCUGUCAAGUCGGAUGUGAAAUCCCCGGGCUCAACCUGGGAACUGCAUUCGAAACUGGCAGGCUGGAGUCUUGUAGAGGGGGGUAGAAUUCCAGGUGUAGCGGUGAAAUGCGUAGAGAUCUGGAGGAAUACCGGUGGCGAAGGCGGCCCCCUGGACAAAGACUGACGCUCAGGUGCGAAAGCGUGGGGAGCAAACAGGAUUAGAUACCCUGGUAGUCCACGCUGUAAACGAUGUCGACUUGGAGGUUGUUCCCUUGAGGAGUGGCUUCCGGAG
rnacentral:rRNA from 1 species